CAGCCCCUCAAGUGGUCAGGAUGAUUAUUGGGCCUAAAGCAUCCGUAGCCGGCUCUGUAAGUUUUCGGUUAAAUCUGUAUGCUCAACAUACAGGCUGCCGGGAAUACUGCAGCGCUAGGGAGUGGGAGAGGUAGACGGUACUCGGUAGGAAGGGGUAAAAUCCUUUGAUCUAUUGAUGACCACCUGUGGCGAAGGCGGUCUACCAGAACACGUCCGACGGUGAGGGAUGAAAGCUGGGGGAGCAAACCGGAUUAGAUACCCGAGUAGUCC
rnacentral:rRNA from 1 species